UAACUCGGUGGUAGAGUAACGCCAUGGUAAGGCGUAAGUCAACGGUUCAAAUCCGUU
rnacentral:tRNA from 1 species